ACGAUUUGCUUAUGGCAUGACAAUCAAAAAAACGUCACAGGCCGAUACACAUGAGAUUAUUUACCACAUGAUUUUUCACACAAAAUCCAACGUUUAAAUACUUUAUUAAGAACGUCCUUGUUUGCAGGUCUGUUAAACAUUAAUAUUUCGAGUAACUGUAAACUUAAAAAUAACAAUUACUAUAUUUGAGGUUGCUAGAUGAUGUUGGUUUAUAUACUGCUUAUCCAGGUAAUGUUUGGCAAUAUUUUGUUAAAGACAAACCUACACAAAAUCGCAAACAAGUAUAGAAAAGUUGAUCAACAAAACAAUUCACUUCAAAUUUUAAAUUAUGGUUCCCAAAACAACCUAACAGAAAAUUUUAAAAGUUUUGAAAAACUAAAGAAGCAACAUUUUAUCAGAAAGUUAUUGAUACUAACAAAAAAAAAAUUACGAUUAAAAAGAUUAGCGCAAGUUAAAUCAAAAAAAUGUAAUUCAAAUUCAGGAAUGCAAAAAUGUUUUUUUGUAGCAACAUCAAAACCAAAUAUAAGAGUUAUGAAUUAUUGCCCAAAUAAUUUAAAAUGCUUUGGACACUCUAAAUAAAUCAGCUUAUAUCGGCUGAUUUGUUUAUGCUAUGGUUGUAUCUAUUUUUGCUGACAUACAAUAAAGAAUAAAUCUGUUUUCAUUCUCACUCAUUGUAAUGAUUUUGCAUUAUUACGUGUUAAGAAGCUGGCGAGACAAAGUGUAUAUAUUUUUAAGCAACAGUUUUGAAAAAAUUUUAUAAUCUGAUACGUAUCAAUCUGCACUUUAAUGUUUAUGUUGAAGAAUUUGAGAAUGUUGACAUGAUUGUAUAUGAACAGUGACAUGUAUAUGUCCAAAUAAAUUUGUAUGUCCAAAUGAAUUUAAACACGAAGUAGCAGUGUACUCAAAGUAUUAUUUACGGUUUUUUGGCUAAAAACGUGUGAAAAUACCUAAAAGACAUAAAUUUUAUUGUAAAUAUAGUUAUAAAAAUUUAUAAUAAUUGUAAAUAUUUUUAUAUUUAAAUUACUUUAUAAUUACUUUUAAAUACACGUAUCUUGCCUUAGGUCUUAGUUUGAAUACAAGAUAUCUUGGA